rnacentral:rRNA from 1 species
CACGUAGGGGGCGAGCGUUGUCCGGAUUUAUUGGGCGUAAAGAGCUCGUAGGCGGCUCAGUAAGUCGGGUGUGAAAUUUCAGGGCUCAACCCUGAAACGCCACCCGAUACUGCUGUGGCUAGAGUCCGGUAGGGGAGCGUGGAAUUCCUGGUGUAGCGGUGAAAUGCGCAGAUAUCAGGAGGAACACCGGUGGCGAAGGCGGGUCUCUGGGCCGAUACUGACGCUGAGGAGCGAAAGCGUGGGGAGCGAACAGG